rnacentral:lncRNA from 1 species
UCGAAAUCAGGAUCCACCUCAAACUUCCACGACAUGUUGAACCUUUUCUCCAAUACUUCAGUGUUGGACAUAGUUCUUGCGGUUUCAUACACAAGAAUUGGAGCCACCGAGGUAUCAUUCGCAGACGAAUAGGUAAUGUUGGAACUGUUACUUAUUUCCAACCCGGCAUUUGCUGUGAUCAUGUAGCUAAAAUCCAGUUCCCAUGUUCUCCAAAGAUCUGCAUCCUGACCGGGAUCAAUUUCCGAACCCCCAACAUUCAACCUAUACAUAGUCUCAAUCCCUUGCCAACUUAUAUUCUGAUUUGCACCAUUUCCACCCACUUUACUAACUGAUCCUGCAAAGAGUGUAUCCAUAGCCGGAACAAUUUCAAUCGCAUUUACGAAUCCAAAUGAACCCUUUACCGGGAUGAACUCAAAAACAAGCACAUCCUCUUUGAUGGCCAAAAUGUACUCCUUAACCAAGAAAGAAGUUACAUUGCUCCCUGAACUCAACAAGCGCAUUUUUCCGCGAUAUCUCACCCAAAACGCUGAAUUCCGACAUCAACUUAAGACCAUUUGCCACAACUCCAAAUCUAGAUUCAUUCACAUUGUAAUUAUCAAAUGGAAAAGGACAGAAAUGGAGCCUAACAAAGUAGUUCCCUCUACUACCUGGGAACGUGUAGUUCAAGCCACCAUCGAAAAUUCGAGCGGUCGCAUACAGCGGCGCGGAUGCUGUUGAAUCAACACUUGAGGGAGCUGUGGAUGCAGCAUUGGCAGGGGAGCUGAGAGUGAUGCUGUUGUUGGGGGCCAAGUCACCAACCCAUUUCCUACCACUCACAGUAAUGCUUGAAUUCGUGCCACAAUUUAUCAGAAGAGAUUUAGACUGAGCAAAUGCACAGAAAAUCACCGGAAAAAGCAGCCCAAAAAUCUCCCUGCCCAGAAGAGCCAUCACCAAUUUUCUAAGAGUGGUAUCUUUUAGUGAAAAGAGAGGUCCCAAUGGAAAAAGCAAGAACAGCCCAGUUUCCACCAGAGCUCAAAUCAUACUAAAACCAUUAAAAAUCCUAACAUUUAAUUUCUCAAAUUCCAUCAAAAUAUUGAAAAAACCCAUCAAAUUUUACCUUCAUCACUCAUGUUUUUGCAUUUGAAUUUCCUUGUUUAGAAACAUGGCUGCUAUGAAAAAAGACUGGUUCUUUUGAAAUCCCAACUGCAAUUUUUAUUGCACUCUCAGAAAUCAGCAAAUCCAAUUUCCUUGCAGAUCUAAAGUAAGAAGAAAUCAAAGAUGUGGGCGGGGAAGCAAAGGACUGUGACAAAAGGUGGCAAGGUUGACAAACUUCUUCAACAGUGAGACUAAAAGCAAUGAGAAAAACAGAAGAUAAGAACAUGCAAAA